rnacentral:lncRNA from 1 species
GGCCAUCUCAAGGGAUAGGGCUCAUGGGUUGGUUUGGAAGAAAAAGAGAAUAAGAAGGAAGGGGAGAGAGGAGAGAGGCCGCUAGUAAGGAAUAGGAUGAAGAAGGAGGAAGGAGAAGAAGAAGAUGAAGAAGGUAAAAAUGGAUGAAGAUGGAGGAGGCCGCCAACAAAAGGGAUAGUUUGUGAAUGGUUUGGAGAAAAAAGAUAAGGAGAAGAAGUGCAUGGGAAGAAAGGGGAGGAGAAAAGGGAGG